rnacentral:tRNA from 1 species
GUUAAAGUAGUUAAAAGCUAAGAUAACGGGACCCUGAAGAGGUUUUAUUGAAGAAAAUUCUUCCUUUAACA